AGCGAACGCUGGCGGCAGGCCUAACACAUGCAAGUCGAACGGACCCUUCGGGGUUAGUGGCGGACGGGUGAGUAACACGUGGGAACGUGCCUUUAGGUUCGGAAUAGCUCCUGGAAACGGGUGGUAAUGCCGAAUGUGCCCUUCGGGGGAAAGAUUUAUCGCCUUUAGAGCGGCCCGCGUCUGAUUAGCUAGUUGGUGAGGUACUGGCUCACCAAGGCGACGAUCAGUAGCUGGUCUGAGAGGAUGACCAGCCACAUUGGGACUGAGACACGGCCCAAACUCCUACGGGAGGCAGCAGUGGGGAAUCUUGCGCAAUGGGCGAAAGCCUGACGCAGCCAUGCCGCGUGAAUGAUGAAGGUCUUAGGGUUGUAAAAUUCUUUCACCGGGGACGAUAAUGACGGUACCCGGAGAAGAAGCCCCGGCUAACUUCGUGCCAGCCGCCGCCGUAAAAC
rnacentral:rRNA from 1 species